AAAGUCGUAACAAGGUUUCCGUAGGUGAACCUGCGGAAGGAUCAUUAUUGAAACUUCUUUGGAAAUAGUACUGUUGCUGGCCUUGUAAUGAGGUAUGUGCACGUCUAUUGCCAAUCUAUUCAUCCACCUGUGCACUUUUUGUAGGAGUUCUUUGAGGUUAUUUUGUACUUGUGCAAUUUGGCUUUGAAAGGCUUCUAUGUUCUUAUAAACUCAUUAGUAUGUCUUUGAAUGUUUUUUAUUGGGACUUGAUUGGCCCUUUAAACUUGUACAACUUUUAGCAACGGAUCUCUUGGCUCUC
rnacentral:misc_RNA from 1 species